GGAGGGGUGGCUGAGUGGUCGAAGGCGCCGGUCUUGAAAACCGGAGUGCCCGUAAGGGCACCGUGGGUUCGAAUCCCACCCCCUCCGCCA
rnacentral:tRNA from 1 species